GACGAACGCUGGCGGCGUGCUUAACACAUGCAAGUCGAACGGAAAGGCCCUGCUUUUGUGGGGUGCUCGAGUGGCGAACGGGUGAGUAACACGUGAGUAACCUGCCCUUGACUUUGGGAUAACUUCAGGAAACUGGGGCUAAUACCGGAUAGGAGCUCCUGCUGCAUGGUGGGGGUUGGAAAGUUUCGGCGGUUGGGGAUGGACUCGCGGCUUAUCAGCUUGUUGGUGGGGUAGUGGCUUACCAAGGCUUUGACCGGUAGCCGGGCUGAGAGGGUGACCGGCCACACUGGGACUGAGAUACGGCCCAGCCUCCUCCGGGAGGCAGCAGUGGGGAAUAUUGCACAGUGGGCGGAAGCCUGAUGCAGCAACGCCGCGUGCGGGAUGACGGCCUUCGGGUUGUAAACCGCUUUCGCCUGUGACGAAGCGUGAGUGACGGUAAUGGGUAAAGAAGCACCGGCUAACUACGUG
rnacentral:rRNA from 1 species